UACAGAGGGGGCAAGCGUUGUUCGGAAUUACUGGGCGUAAAGGGCGCGUAGGCGGCCCUGCUAAGUCGAACGUGAAACUCCCUGGGCUCAACCCAGAACUGCGUCCGAUACUGGCGGGCUUGAAUCCGGGAGAGGGGAUGCGGAAUUCCAGGUGUAGCGGUGAAAUGCGUAGAUAUCUGGAGGAACACCGGUGGCGAAGGCGGGUCUCUGGGCAGUAACUGACGCUGAGGAGCGAAAGCGUGGGGAGCGAACAGG
rnacentral:rRNA from 1 species